rnacentral:rRNA from 1 species
UUAAUUGAAGAGUUUGAUCAUGGCUCAGAUUGAACGCUGGCGGCAGGCUUAACACAUGCAAGUCGAGCGGUAGCACAAGAGAGCUUGCUCUCUGGGUGACGAGCGGCGGACGGGUGAGUAAUGUCUGGGAAACUGCCUGAUGGAGGGGGAUAACUACUGGAAACGGUAGCUAAUACCGCAUAACGUCGCAAGACCAAAGAGGGGGACCUUCGGGCCUCUUGCCAUCAGAUGUGCCCAGAUGGGAUUAGCUAGUAGGUGGGGUAAUGGCUCACCUAGGCGACGAUCCCUAGCUGGUCUGAGAGGAUGACCAGCCACACUGGAACUGAGACACGGUCCAGACUCCUACGGGAGGCAGCAGUGGGGAAUAUUGCACAAUGGGCGCAAGCCUGAUGCAGCCAUGCCGCGUGUGUGAAGAAGGCCUUCGGGUUGUAAAGCACUUUCAGCGAGGAGGAAGGUGGUGAGCUUAAUACG